UUAAGAGUGUCCGGACAAAUUCUCUAUUUUCAGCAUUUGAAAGCCCAAAGCUUAAUAGCCCAUUAUUUGGUCUGAAAUAUCUAAGCCCAUUGGGCUUUUAAAUUAAAGCCCAAUUGGUAGUUGUUAUCUAUUAGGGUUUCUAAUAUCCGCUAUAAAACGUUGCUACCUUGUCUCUCUCAUUCAGCGGCCAUCAACUAGGGUUCAGGCAAAGCGAAGCACCGUUCACGAUGAGAGCUAAGUGGAAGAAGAAGCGUAUGAGGAGAUUGAAGAGGAAGCGCCGAAAGAUGAGACAGAGAUCUAAGUAGUGCGCUAUUUUGAAUCGAUCUUAGUUAUUUCUUUUUGUCAUGUAUGUUUCUGAUGUCAGAUGAUCCUUUCAAUAAUUGUUUUUACUUUUGUUCGAGUUUUGAUACAUUGGUGGUUUUACACCUUAAUCAUAUUAGAUUUGGUUUAAACUGUUAUUUUAAA